GGUGGAGUAAGGAGGACUUUGCACUCAGUUGUUCUAGGGCUCAGAGAAGGAAAAAGCAGACUAAAGAACAAACUACACAGACUGCUGCCUUUGAGAUGUUAUUCUUACUGCAAUUACCAGCAAUGACUAUGAUCUCUACAUGCUCAACAGUAAAUCCAGAGGAAUGAGUGGCAACAUUUCUCCUAAGUGGUGUAUAAUAAUACCUGACAUUUAUAUAGCGCCUUUCAUUUGUAAGAACCCAAAAGUGUUUGACAAAGUGUACUGGGAUCACUUCACCCACUACUGAAAUGGAACUGUCUUUGUGGCAAGAUUCAGUAUUCUACACCACUGAUGUUACACACCAGUGUUUUUAGGAGAAGUGACAACUGGUGAAAUCCAGUUGAUGUGUUCUUGUGGAUAGUGCCAAGGGAUUUUCAGUGGCAUCAGAUGGUUGGGCAUUUGGCUUCACAUCAUCCACAAGGCAGCACCCACUUCAUUUCCCCACCUCCCAUCACCAUGCUUAGCAUGCCAGAACAUUAUGUCAGUGAUGAAAGGAGGGUCACCAGCUCCACUGCUACAGUUUCCU